rnacentral:miRNA from 2 species
UGGUCGACCAGUUGGAAAGU